rnacentral:rRNA from 1 species
GGGACACGUGGUAUCCUGUCUGAAUAUGGGGGGACCAUCCUCCAAGGCUAAAUACUCCUGACUGACCGAUAGUGAACCAGUACCGUGAGGGAAAGGCGAAAAGAACCCCGGCGAGGGGAGUGAAAAAGAACCUGAAACCGUGUACGUACAAGCAGUGGGAGCCUCUUAAUGGGGUGACUGCGUACCUUUUGUAUAAUGGGUCAGCGACUUAUAUUCUGUAGCAAGGUUAACCGAAUAGGGGAGCCGAAGGGAAACCGAGUCUUAACUGGGCGUUAAGUUGCAGGGUAUAGACCCGAAACCCGGUGAUCUAGCCAUGGGCAGGUUGAAGGUUGGGUAACACUAACUGGAGGACCGAACCGACUAAUGUUGAAAAAUUAGCGGAUGACUUGUGGCUGGGGGUGAAAGGCCAAUCAAACCGGGAGAUAGCUGGUUCUCCCCGAAAGCUAUUUAGGUAGCGCCUCGUGAAUUCAUCUCCGGGGGUAGAGCACUGUUUCGGCAAGGGGGUCAUCCCGACUUACCAACCCGAUGCAAACUGCGAAUACCGGAGAAUGUUAUCACGGGAGACACACGGCGGGUGCUAACGUCCGUCGUGAAGAGGGAAACAACCCAGACCGCCAGCUAAGGUCCCAAAGUCAUGGUUAAGUGGGAAACGAUGUGGGAAGGCCCAGACAGCCAGGAUGUUGGCUUAGAAGCAGCCAUCAUUUAAAGAAAGCGUAAUAGCUCACUGGUCGAGUCGGCCUGCGCGGAAGAUGUAACGGGGCUAAACCAUGCACCGAAGCUGCGGCAGCGACACUAUGUGUUGUUGGGUAGGGGAGCGUUCUGUAAGCCUGUGAAGGUGGCCUGUGAGGGUUGCUGGAGGUAUCAGAAGUGCGAAUGCUGACAUAAGUAACGAUAAAGCGGGUGAAAAGCCCGCUCGCCGGAAGACCAAGGGUUCCUGUCCAACGUUAAUCGGGGCAGGGUGAGUCGACCCCUAAGGCGAGGCCGAAAGGCGUAGUCGAUGGGAAACAGGUUAAUAUUCCUGUACUUGGUGUUACUGCGAAGGGGGGACGGAGAAGGCUAUGUUGGCCGGGCGACGGUUGUCCCGGUUUAAGCGUGUAGGCUGGUUUUCCAGGCAAAUCCGGAAAACCAAGGCUGAGGCGUGAUGACGAGGCACUACGGUGCUGAAGCGACAAAUGCCCUGCUUCCAGGAAAAGCCUCUAAGCAUCAGGUAACAUCAAAUCGUACCCCAAACCGACACAGGUGGUCAGGUAGAGAAUACCAAGGCGCUUGAGAGAACUCGGGUGAAGGAACUAGGCAAAAUGGUGCCGUAACUUCGGGAGAAGGCACGCUGAUAUGUAGGUGAAGCGACUUGCUCGUGGAGCUGAAAUCAGUCGAAGAUACCAGCUGGCUGCAACUGUUUAUUAAAAACACAGCACUGUGCAAACACGAAAGUGGACGUAUACGGUGUGACGCCUGCCCGGUGCCGGAAGGUUAAUUGAUGGGGUUAGCGGUAACGCGAAGCUCUUGAUCGAAGCCCCGGUAAACGGCGGCCGUAACUAUAACGGUCCUAAGGUAGCGAAAUUCCUUGUCGGGUAAGUUCCGACCUGCACGAAUGGCGUAAUGAUGGCCAGGCUGUCUCCACCCGAGACUCAGUGAAAUUGAACUCGCUGUGAAGAUGCAGUGUACCCGCGGCAAGACGGAAAGACCCCGUGAACCUUUACUAUAGCUUGACACUGAACAUUGAGCCUUGAUGUGUAGGAUAGGUGGGAGGCUUUGAAGUGUGGACGCCAGUCUGCAUGGAGCCGACCUUGAAAUACCACCCUUUAAUGUUUGAUGUUCUAACGUGGGCCCCUAAUCGGGGUUGCGGACAGUGUCUGGUGGGUAGUUUGACUGGGGCGGUCUCCUCCUAAAGAGUAACGGAGGAGCACGAAGGUUGGCUAAUCCUGGUCGGACAUCAGGAGGUUAGUGCAAUGGCAUAAGCCAGCUUGACUGCGAGCGUGACGGCGCGAGCAGGUGCGAAAGCAGGUCAUAGUGAUCCGGUGGUUCUGAAUGGAAGGGCCAUCGCUCAACGGAUAAAAGGUACUCCGGGGAUAACAGGCUGAUACCGCCCAAGAGUUCAUAUCGACGGCGGUGUUUGGCACCUCGAUGUCGGCUCAUCACAUCCUGGGGCUGAAGUAGGUCCCAAGGGUAUGGCUGUUCGCCAUUUAAAGUGGUACGCGAGCUGGGUUUAGAACGUCGUGAGACAGUUCGGUCCCUAUCUGCCGUGGGCGCUGGAGAACUGAGGGGGGCUGCUCCUAGUACGAGAGGACCGGAGUGGACGCAUCACUGGUGUUCGGGUUGUCAUGCCAAUGGCACUGCCCGGUAGCUAAAUGCGGAAGAGAUAAGUGCUGAAAGCAUCUAAGCACGAAACUUGCCCCGAGAUGAGUUCUCCCUGACUCCUUGAGAGUCCUGAAGGAACGUUGAAGACGACGACGUUGAUAGGCCGGGUGUGUAAGCGCAGCGAUGCGUUGAGCUAACCGGUACUAAUGAACCGUGAGGCUUAACCUU